GUUCUGUUGAAUUUUGAAAUGCACGAAGAAGGAGACAUUUAAUUGUAAUGUAUAGUAAUCUUGAAGUGCUUAAUACCAUAGCCACAAAUUUAAAUUAAAAACAUACCAGUGGUACAAUUAAACACUGGUCCGGAGCUACUUCAAACAACAUGCCACUAGAGUGCUAUCUACACGUUUCAAUCGUACAUUUUAAUAUGGAGAUACCAUAUAACUCUACCUCAAAUGACGUGAUAUCAGAGUGCAAUAUGCAUGUGCUAGUUUUACAAAAAGUAGUUUGGAGCUAGAAAAUGAGUUUACCUCAAUUGAUAUGUGUUCAAUGAUACAAAUGAAGAGGAUGUAAAUAAGUUUAUUGGACUACCAAAAGGUAACAAAGAAAGACAUAAGAUUAUCGGACUAAGGCGAAGAGGCAAUUGUUUAUAUAAUAAAUAUCCCAUGUAUAAUAAGGAAGGACUCAUAGUUUGUAGAAGACCAACAGAAUCAAGAAAAAAAGCUGCACAUGAUUUCAUAUGUUGUGCUGGAUGUAAGGGCUUUUUUACUAAGAACAAUGUACGAGUUUACGAUUAUUAAGGCAAUUUUUACAAGCCAUUGAAAAAUUAAUAA